rnacentral:rRNA from 1 species
AGCGAACGCUGGCGGCAGGCCUAACACAUGCAAGUCGAACGGAUCCUUCGGGAUUAGUGGCGGACGGGUGAGUAACACGUGGGAACGUGCCCUUUGGUUCGGAACAACUCAGGGAAACUUGAGCUAAUACCGGAUGUGCUCUUCGGGGGAAAGAUUUAUCGCCAUUGGAGCGGCCCGCGGCUGAUUAGCUAGUUGGUGAGGUAAAGGCUCACCAAGGCGACGAUCAGUAGCUGGUCUGAGAGGAUGAUCAGCCGCAUUGGGACUGAGACACGGCCCAAACUCCUACGGGAGGCAGCAGUGGGGAAUCUUGCGCAAUGAGCGAAAGCCUGACGCAGCCAUGCCGCGUGAAUGAUGAAGGUCUUAGGAUUGUAAAAUUCUUUCACCGGGGACGAUAAUGACGGUACCCGGAGAAGGAGCCCCGGCUAACUUCGUGCCAGCCGCCGCUGUAA